rnacentral:lncRNA from 1 species
AUAAGGGGAAGGCUUGAAUUAUAAAAAUGUAUCCAAAUGCCAGGAAUUAAUUAAUAAAAGAGAUGUGUUGUGCUAGGUAAUGGAAAAAAGGAAAGAAAUGUGAACUAAGGAAUAAUUGAAGAGGUUAUGUCCCAAGUGAGAUGACUUAGCCGAUCGGGCCGAGAUCGGACGCCAUGUUGUACACAUGGUGGCAUUUACAUUGGAUUU